rnacentral:rRNA from 1 species
AUUGAACGCUGGCGGCAUGCCUUACACAUGCAAGUCGAACGGCAGCACGGGAGCAAUCCUGGUGGCGAGUGGCGAACGGGUGAGUAAUACAUCGGAACGUGCCCAGUAGUGGGGGAUAACCCGGCGAAAGCCGGACUAAUACCGCAUACGACCUACGGGUGAAAGCAGGGGAUCGCAAGACCUUGCGCUAUCGGAGCGGCCGAUGUCAGAUUAGCUAGUUGGUGGGGAAAAGCUCACCAAGGCGACGAUCUGUAGCUGGUCUGAGAGGAUGAUCAGCCACACUGGGACUGCGACACGGCCCAGACUCCUACGGGAGGCAGCAGUGGGGAAUAUUGGGCAAUGGGCGAAAGCCUGACCCAGCCACGCCGCGUGAGUGAUGAAGGCC